GCCUCGAUAGCUCAGCUGGCCAGAGCAGCUCCCUUGUAACAAAAAAAAGAGCAAGAUAGGAGCAGGUCGAGGGUUCAAAUCCCUCUCGGGGCU
rnacentral:tRNA from 1 species